CACCCGCACCCGCAACUGAAGUAUGAAGCGGAGGAGGAAAGGAAGAAGAAGACGCACCAUUGUUUGUA
rnacentral:sRNA from 1 species